CUCUGCAUCAUCAGGUGAUGUCAUCUCCAACCACUGGCCAAUGGCCGAGCCCUCAGCUGGGAGCAUCUUUGCUGCAAGACAGGAGAGAAGAGAGGAAGAGGAGGAGGAGGAGGAGGAGAACAGCUGCUGGGUGGAAAUCUGGGGAAGGGGAGGCGGCAGGGUGGGGAGAUCCUUUGUUCCUUCCCCACCAUGGUGCUUUGGGACCCAGUGCGGCCUCUCCUCCGGCACGGCUAGACUUGCCACCGCAGACCUUCCUUGUGGUCCACAGGCAGGGGAUGAGCCUCCAACGGAUUGACAGGGCUCUUCCUUUGACAGCAGGGGAUGGUCCAGGUGGCUCCUCGACCUGCGUGGGACCUCAUCCAUCAUCUCUCUUCACUCUGCAGCAGAUACCCUGACGAUAUCCAGGUUCUUUGGAGAGGGACACUUUGUCCUUCCUCGGAAAGGCAAACUGAAUCCAGAGAACGGCAACAUCCUAUCUAUCCCAGUUCUUUUCCUUGACUUGAAGUAGCAGGACGCCUGGGUUUUCUGCAUGUCUGCCUGUCAGGAUGUCAACCAUCAGCCCUGAAUAUGACUAUUUGUUUAAGCUGCUGCUGAUCGGUGAUUCUGGAGUCGGAAAAUCGUGCCUCCUGCUGCGUUUUGCAG